UACGUAGGGGGCUAGCGUUGUCCGGAAUCAUUGGGCGUAAAGAGCGUGUAGGCGGCCCGGUAAGUCGGCUGUGAAAGUCGGGGGCUCAACCCUCGAAUGCCGGUGGAUACUGUCGGGCUAGAGUGCGGAAGAGGCGAGUGGAAUUCCUGGUGUAGCGGUGAAAUGCGCAGAUAUCAGGAGGAACACCGAUUGCGAAGGCAGCUCGCUGGGACGUUACUGACGCUGAGACGCGAAAGCGUGGGGAGCAAACAGG
rnacentral:rRNA from 1 species